CCUAUGAAGGUUAACCAACGAAAAAAAACCUACGAAGGUUAACCAGCGAUAAAAAAACCUAAACCUAUCGCCCGCUCGCUCGCGCCCCUGUUGCUCCCUCCUCAAUCCCGAUCUGGAUCGAGGGGACGAGGAGCUCCUGCCUCCCCGACGGCCGGCCUCCUCCUCGCCCCGCCGCUGCAUCCGGCGCCGCGACGGCCUCUGGAGCCAGGGAAGCCAUGACCUGAGCUCGGCCUCGAGGUCCCCGCCGCCGUCUCCUGCAGUUUCUGCCCCGCCGCCUCGCCGUCGCACCAACCUCAGCGCCGCGCCGCCGCCGGCUCUGGUCGCCUCCACCUCCGCUCCAGGCAACCCUCGGUCGCCGGCUCGCUGGAGCACGACGGCAGGCGAUGGAUGCCCUGGUUUUGUGCGACGGAUGCAGUUCUCACGCGCAAGCUAGGGUUGGAGCCGCCAGCUCUUCAUCCUGCCCGCCGGCGGCGACUCUUCCCGCCCCGCACUCCCGCCUCCCCGUUAUCACAGGGUACAUUUAUGUUUCAUGAUCUGUUCUGCAGAUUUUCAGAACACUAAGUGCAUAUCUUGCCUUGCAAUGCUGCUGAUUCGACAAUCGAACUGGAUUCAAACUGGACUUGCGACCAGAGCAACCCCAAGCAAGAUGAACUCGAUUGGAAGAUGUCUACUAAACUCUGAAGGCAAGCACUCGGCCGACACUUUUGCUCUUGUAGAAGGCAUGCCAUUUGAUUCAUGCCAAGAAGCGUACGGACAAUAUAAGCUAUUUGCUUUGGAGGAUGGUUUUGGAAUUCAUCAUGGAAAGCCGAGAUGAGGGCAUGCACGUUACCAGAUGACGCACAAAAUUGUGUGCUGGUGCUAGAUCAGUUACAUAGCGUCUUGCUUGAAAUUGUAGUACAACUAUAUUCUUGUCGUUUCCCCAACCACUCCAUGAUGGUCUUGUGCUUGAAUUUUUUCCAUGCUUUGAAAUUGCUUGGUAUUUAUAUUGUAGCUAGCAUUGUCAUUGUCUUGUUUGGUUUUCGGUGUGCAGGUUAAGAGGGACAAUGAUAAUUCUUCUUCGUGCAAAACAGAACGAAGGCGAGGAUGCGUCUCCUCCAUGCAAAGCAGGUUGGUAUGUGAGCAUAUUCAGCAACGAGCAAAAUCACCCUCUGUCUGCAAUUUGUGAAGAGAAGAGGCAGUGGAACUCACACAGUGAGAUCAAUCCAGUUCUUAUGAUUUUCAUCAAGAAUCUCAAAGCACCUCAUCAAUUUUUGCCAACAGAAACCAAUGAAAAAACAAUUGGGGGCAUCUCGAGAUUGAAGAUUGUGAAAUUUACACAAGCGAGAUAUACAAAAAGUUUGAAGAUGAGUUCUUCAAAUCAAUGUCCUUGGUUGUGUCUAGGUGCAUCAGUGAAACUGGAUGCGAAAUUAAGUGUGCGCGUCCAGAAUAUUUUCAGGCAUAUGGGAAUGUUGUGCAGACAUUUUGUUGGUUUCAGACAAUUGAAAGCAGUGCUACAGUCCAAAUUUUGCCAAGAGAAAGGAGUUUAGGGAAGACGACAGAGGAGGAAUAUGAUGUUGCCCCAACCCCAGGUACUACCUUUACACCCGUAUCCACUUUUGGACAAAAUCGGGAUCUAGAGUUCAUGAAGAGCGCAACUGAAUUUAAAAAGGUCCGUGCGUAUUCUUGGUACCUCGAGGAUGAGAGCAAGCCACCCAAAAAAUGGCCAGAAGGAAGCACCAUAUGUGCAGGUGUGUUCAUGUGCGUUAGAAGGUGAGUUUGUGCUUCUAAUUUCCUAAACAUUCCUAUUACAAACAGAAAACAUCUAUGGUUGGUGAUAAUAAUUAUUGGUGAACAUUGUUAUUGGUAAACCUGCAUGCUGUCGAUCUGCCUCUUCUUCCUGUUGCAACUAUUGAUGGCCAUUGUUAUUGCAAUUUUAUCCUAAUUUAUGUUCAGCUAUUACCAGGUUCUUUGAUUGAAUCCUAAUUCAAACUUCUAACAUACGCAAUACUUUUUGUGCAAUUAUAAGAUGAUGCAUACUCUGACAGUGCUUUGGCCACAUAAAAGGUAAAUCCAUCAUUGUGGAGAUGUCAAAGUUGUCACAAAGACAAGCAUCUGAGCUUUCUUUUUGGAAUGAAACAAAGAUGCAGACUAACCGUAUCAUGUUUUUUUUGACAUCAACCAAUAUCAUGGGUUGGUUCAGGACUUCAGGUAUAUAUCACCAGUAUAACAAUCGAUUAACCAUAGCAAUUGUUACUUUUUUUAUCUACUCUCAAAUGCUUCUCUAUUUUAAAUACCUAUUAAAUGUUGUCACAAUCACCCUAUUUCCGCCGCACUGAGGGCUAUGGCAGGAAGGAGCCCACCGUCGGCAUCGCCCAUGGCCGAGAAGACCGAGGACGCCGAGGACCCAGCGCCCUCAAGUACGAUGGCAUUCUUUCUGUUACGACUUAUGGUGAUGCCUGAGGAGUUUUGAGAUCAAUCUUGAUCUUCAUAUGACCGUGACCGGGAGGCGAACCCGGUUGCGCUUAGAGACAAUUGAUUAAUGGAGAUCCUCCAGCCACCGAGCUCGGAAAGGAAACCUAGGCGAGAAAUCCACGCUUGUCCAUACCGCUUGCCGUUUAGGACGAGCAACUUCGUGAACUUCAACCCCAUCAUGUUGACAAGGACUCGGCGGAUGAUUCCUCAUUGACUUUCUACCAGCUGCGCCAUGACUGCGUCCACAGCAUCCCGACACCAUGUUCAAGACCAAGUUCUAACCCACAUAUCCAAUCUCCCUCCAUGGAUCUUGCCUCUCAUUGACCAAGAUCAACAAUUACACUCAAUUUCAGAUUUACAAAAGAGAUGGACCUAGAGCAAACAACCUGUGAGGCUUGGUUCGUGUACAUCAACAACGUUGUAUGAUGGUGAAGUUUCUUCACUUCCCCUGACCAGACGCUGCAUGCUCUGCUCACUGAAGGUGCCCGCUGUUUGUGUUUGGAUGUUGUUGCUGCCGUAUGUCAAGGUAUGUAGCAGCAGCUUUUGUUUUCUGUUUCACACUAGCGAAUGUCAGAAUUUAUCAUGUGGGCAAUUUUUUUUACUGUAGUAUGAGUACAAGGUUCAAAGAAGUUCAGUCAUUUAGUAUCUCACAGAUUGUCUAGGCUUUAAAUUUAGGAGAUGACUUGGAAGCUCAACAUAGAAAAUUAUUUAGUCUAAUGCAGAUUACAUAUUAAACGCCUUUUCGAAGCAAGUAUGGAAGAACAUGUGGUGAGAUCUCCAUGAGAAAAUUUAAUAUAACAGUUUCUUUGACUUGAAGGAAUAUUUGCAGAUUUUUAUCUAUCGAAAGUUUGAGGGUAUCAUCUUUGCGAAAUUGAUGCUCUUGACGUCUAUUAGUAAUGGACACUUCUAUCAUUCUAUAUAUCAUUUUAUGCACUUAACUGAGAAGGCUUUCUAAUAGUUGAGGAGGCGCUCAUGAUUCUGAGCUUGGCUCUUCCUGACUAGCUCGUCACCAGGCUCACAACUGCGGAAUCAUAGGCGCGAAACGCUUCAAGGUGUCCGCCAAAGCCCGUGUCAUUGAGCAGAAAGUUGCCUCGCUCAACCAAAUUGCACCUGUCAUUGAUGCACGGCGAGGGCACUCGGAAUAUGGUGUUUCUCCGUUGCGAAGCAUGCGAUGUUGAGAGAAAAGAGGGAGACUGCACCGGAGGAAAGCGAAGCAUGGUAGCAGGUAUGAAGAUGAGAGCAUAAUGUUCUCUUUUAGCAAAGGAUCCAUGUUUCUAUUUUUUUUCAUCCCAUUGCAACGCACGGGGACCUUUGAUUUGAUUUAGUAUUAUCUUAUACUGUAGAUAGGGAAAUAUGGACACUAAAUAUCCAUUUCUUAGGUGUCAACCUGGUACAUUAGGCUGUAUAUAGUACAUGGCAGAGUUCUUCCAGCUACUAAUUCAGGUAAUCUGAUUCAUAUCUUAGGAACUUUUCUUUAGGCAUAGUUAACUAACAGCAAGGACAUUGCCAUAUAUGAAGUAUGAACAAAAAAAGGAGGUACAGUAAUGAUUUCACAUAUGCACUUUCCCUACAACCUAUGUCGAGGGUACCUACUGUAAUGAUUUUGCAUAUGAACUUGCUAAAAAUAGUACUACUACCUUGAGUUUGUCAAAGAAUAAUGCCACUAAAUUGUCAGCCAUUUAAGAUCUAUCAUCUUUUUCCCCACUAGGGCGCUUCCUUAAAAUUUAUUACUUUAGAGACAUGGGGAUCCUCAAGUUAACACACUUGAUUCUUACUGCUGCUUAUGCAUCCCUGAACUUCAGUUAAAUUUAUGAUUAUCUGGAUAUUUCCUAUACUUUAUCAAGUGUAGGGUUCUUAAAAUAAGGACAGACAUUUGUUUCACCUUUUGUAGUUCAUCAUAAUAGCAUAUGAUUUUAGAAAAUGGCAAAUUGCCAAGUACAAUUCUGAAGCGGAGAGUUACUUAUGUAUUUUUUUAUUCAUAAAUGACAUGAUCAAGGAGUCAGGUGUGAAAAUGCUUUAUAAAUCAGGUGAGCCAACAUGCUGAAAUUUUGUGGCAAUUAGUGUGGGAAAGAACUAUGUACUCUUGUUUCAAGUAGACUUCAUCGCCUUAUUGUUAGAGUCAGCUUCACCCCUCCCAUUGUUAUAUUCUUGACAUGAAUAUUAGUGCCCCCCCCCACCAUUUAUGUUGUUGAAAAUGACAAUCGCUUGAUCUUUGAAUCAUGCAGUUGCCUAUCUACAAAUCAUAAUUGUGGCCAAAUAAAACAUACUGAUAUAUCCAAAUCUAGGUCGAAGCUAUGCUACAGACUAGGUGGUAAUAAUGGCCAUCAUUUAUAUGUUUGGAAACUACUAAUAAUCCACUUGAUCAUCUCAAGUAACAAACCACUGACUAAUUAGCCAUGCAUCAAGAAAAGCAGAAGUUGUUCAUCUCAAUAAAAAUAAUCCAAAUUACCAUAUUUAUUUAUUAAAAAAUGGUUAUAUACUAACCCCAAGCCAUUUCCAACAAAGAAAAUAUCAUUGCAUUUUUUUUCUAUUGGUACUUUGGAUAAGUGUGGGUGGACUUGAUAAUUGACACGAGGAAGCUGCUAAAAGCAAGGAAUCUAAUCAACAACAAGGAUCUUCUAACGGUUUCCUUCUGGUUUAUCUGGUGGGAGUGUUGAAAUAUUUUCAUGAGGAAAAAAAUAUGAUCCCCUUGCUCACUCAUCGAUGAGCAUGAGGACGGUACGUAGUUGCAAACUCCAUUGCCCUGGAGGAUCAUGCACCGACGCCAAGUUCGUAAAUGGACUUUAUCUACGUUCGGCAGUGUGUAGCUCAACAAGAACACUUCGUUUCACACUGAUGGAGGCAACGGGGCCUAUGGGCUAUUCUUCGUGACUCAUUUGGGGGCUUCGUUGCGAAAAGUGCCUGCAACUACCGGGCUUCACUGCUCUAGAUAUUUGAAAUUUUUUAAAAACACACUUAGGUUGCUAGAAAAAUCUUAAAUCAAAUACGUGAAUACAUACACACAUUCUUAAGGCCCGGUAAAAACCUGAAAAAAAUACGUUGUAUUUAGAUAUGAAAAAGAUAUAAUUCUGACAGGAAUGACUCCCCUUUUGUCCUAUAUACUACUAGAAAUUUGUUUUUUUCUAUAGCCAAAAACAAAACGAGAUAACUACCACAGCUGCCACGGGUAUUUGGAAUGUGUAUAUGUAUCCCUGGAAAAAAAUUCACAUUUUUUUUGAAACUUCAAAACACAAAUUUCAAAAUGAUUAAAUAUAGAGAGCACUGGAGCUCGGGUGUUGCAACACGUUGAUUCAUGCAGGUACAAGCGGUCAAGGUUGGACAUUCCACCGAUGGAAGCUGAAGCAUUAAUGAUGGGCCUGAAGUUAGCAGAAAAUUGGACGUCCACUCCCAUGCGAUGGAGAGAUUCAAUGAAAAAUAUUCAAGGCGUGAAGAACCAGUCGGAGUAUCGCACUUUAGAGGCAGUUGUCACUUAUGAUUGCCGGAAUUUGAUGGCAAGCUUUGGAAGGGCGAGGAUGAUGCACCGGGGGCGAGAAGCAGAUUCACAUGAACACUUGGUCGAUUUUGUUUUAUUGACAGGCCUGAGAGGUAAGGGGAACCACCCUCUUAUUUCCCGGUUCCAGUUCUUGUAAAGGAUAUGAUAAUCAUUUAAACAAAGUUGUCAAACUUAAAGAAAAAUAAUCUUCCACUGUUGAAAAACAUUAAGGAUGUGCACAUUUGUGCUUGAUCAUGAAGUGAAAUGGACCAUAAAGGGACAUUUUAACUUGUUUUA